rnacentral:rRNA from 1 species
AUGCACGCUGGCGGCGUGCCUAAUACCUGCAAGUCGAGCGAACAGACGAGGAGCUUGCUCCUCUGACGUUAGCGGCGGACGGGUGAGUAACACGUGGAUAACCUACCUAUAAGACUGGGAUAACUUCGGGAAACCGGAGCUAAUACCGGAUAAUAUAUUGAACCGCAUGGUUCAAUAGUGAAAGACGGUUUUGCUGUCACUUAUAGAUGGAUCCGCGCCGCAUUAGCUAGUUGGUAAGGUAACGGCUUACCAAGGCAACGGUGCGUAGCCGACCUGAGAGGGUGAUCGGCCACACUGGAACUGAGACACGGUCCAGACUCCUACGGGAGGCAGCAGUAGGGAAUCUUCCGCAAUGGGCGAAAGCCUGACGGAGCAACGCCGCGUGAGUGAUGAAGGUCUUCGGAUCGUAAAACUCUGUUAUUAGGGAAGAACAAAUGUGUAAGUAACUAUGCACGUCUUGACGGUACCUAAUCAGAAAGCCACGGCUAACUACGUG